AGCGAACGCUGGCGGCGUGCUUAACACAUGCAAGUCAAACGGCCCCAUGGUAGCAAUACUGCGGGGUAGUGGCGAACGGGUGAGUAACACGUGGGUAAUCUCCCCUCGAGUGAGGAAUAAGCUUGCGAAAGCGGGUCUAAUACCGCAUAACGUCCUCAGGUGUGAAUCCUGAGGACCAAAGCCGUAAGGCGCUUGGGGAUGAGCCUGCGUCCUAUUAGCUAGUUGGUAGGGUAAUGGCCUACCAAGGCGAUGAUGGGUAGCCGGCCUGAGAGGGUGAACGGCCACACUGGAACUGAGACACGGUCCAGACUCCUACGGGAGGC
rnacentral:rRNA from 1 species